GAUGAAGAACGCAGCGAAAUGCGAUAAGUAAUGUGAAUUGCAGAAUUCAGUGAAUCAUCGAAUCUUUGAACGCACAUUGCGCCCGCCAGUAUUCUGGCGGGCAAGCCUGUCUGAGCGUCAUUUCAACCCUCAUGCCCCUAGGGCGUGGUGUUGGGGAUCGGCCAAAGCCCGCGAGGGACGGCCGGCCCCUAAAUCUAGUGGCGGACCCGUCGUGGCCUCCUCUGCGAAGUAGUGAUAUUCCGCAUCGGAGAGCGAUGAGCCCCUGCCGUUAAACCCCCAACUUUCCAAGGUUGACCUCAGAUCAGGUAGGAAUACCCGCUGAACUUAAGCAUAUCAAUAAGCGGAGGA
rnacentral:misc_RNA from 1 species